rnacentral:lncRNA from 1 species
AGCGAGGCGAGAUGGGAUGGAGACGAGGCACAAGUCAUCAGGGGAGGGAGCUUCGGGCCAACCAGGGAGCCCCCAGCCACCCCGGGACAAACGACCCCUGUCAGGGCCUGACGUCGGGACCCAACGACCCCCAGGUCCAGGAGGUGGGGUGAAGUCAUAGGCCAGAAGGCCCUUUAACACAUACCCGAGUGCUGACUCGGGAGUCCUGACUCAGAUCACCCCACAAGGGGCAUGGGGCCCCAGGGAGAGCCCCAUCAUCCUGCCCUCAAUGGUCCCUCUGCAGGAGGCCUUCCUCUACACUCCGCCAGGCCGCUGCCCCGUGCUGCCAGGGACCCAGAGCCAGCCCCUGCCCCAGGUACCCUGAGCCCACACUCUUCAGGUAGGAAGAGACUUGGAGAAUUCAGAAGACUUGGGCUCAGACCCUUACUAGUUAUAUAGUGAAGGGCCUUGAGAUCAUGUCACAUGAGGACCAGUUAAAAAAACCCUUCUGAUUGUGGAAGGCCUCAGGUAAUGUCACCUGAAGGACCAGAAGAUGUUUAACUUGGAGAGGGAAGGUCUCAGGUGGCUGGCUGGGUAGGUAGGGGUUGUCUUGGCUUUUCUGAAAGGGUUCUCUUUCUGAAGAGGGAUUGAAUUUGGUCUUUUUGGCCUCAAAGGGUGUUAGGGUAAAAAAUGAAAGUGGCCAAGAGCCAAAUUAUGUUUGGGGUCCGGAAAAAUUUCCUAAAAUUUGGGAUGCCCCCACCCCCACCCCCCAGAGGUACUGAGCUCCUCAUCAACAUCAGCCCUCCAGCAGAGGCUGGCUGACCAGGGAUUGGGGAUGUGAGUUGGUUUGGAUAACGAACAUUGUUGAUUUUGCCACAAAUAUAUUUAUUAAAUUCUCCAUCAGAGACGUAGCCUCUGACGUUUCUAGUAACUUUCCAGAAGUUUCCAAGAGCUCCAUAGUCCGACGUGAGCACGUUCUAUCCUUAGUGACGUACGCCCCGUCCCUUGGUAACAGGAAAGGACACAUUCCAGAGGGGCUUGAGUAGGUUACCAGUCAGCCUCAGCGCUCAGAUCUCUACCACGGAGCUGCUGGCUGCCCCCCCCCAUAGCCCCCUUGGGGGACUUUUUGCCCUUCUCGGCUAUCACCUAAUUGGAGGGGGGGGAUCUGAGAGGAGGGCGGGGGGCAGCUGGCCCUCGAGCUCAGCCCCAUCCGCGAGCUCAGAAAAUCUAGGUGUUGGGGGCGGCCCGGGCAGGGAUUGAGGCAGUCGAGAAGCGGGUAGCUUCUCGCGCCUCCCCACGCCCAGGCCUCCUCCCCCCACCUUUCACACGCUUGGGACUGGAGCCCCGAGCCUGCGCAGUGCGAGCUCAGCGAGCGCCAGU